rnacentral:rRNA from 1 species
UACGAAGGGUGCAAGCGUUAAUCGGAAUUACUGGGCGUAAAGGGUGCGUAGGCGGAUCUUUAAGUCAGGGGUGAAAUCCUGGAGCUCAACUCCAGAACUGCCUUUGAUACUGGGGAUCUCGAGUCCGGAAGAGGUGAGUGGAACUCCGAGUGUAGAGGUGAAAUUCGUAGAUAUUCGGAAGAACACCAGUGGCGAAGGCGGCUCACUGGUCCGGUACUGACGCUGAGGUGCGAAAGCGUGGGGAGCAAACAGG